rnacentral:lncRNA from 1 species
AGUUUUACACUUUUUCAAAUUGUAAAAAGUGAAAAUAUUUUUCUUUUCAUUUUUGCCCUUUGUUUUUUUAGGGUCAAAUCUAGAUUAUGAAAUAAUUUUAGGAUGUGAUGUGAUGGUAAGAUAAUGUUAAUGUAUUAUUAUGUGCAUUUUUAGUUUAUGCAAGCUAAAUAAACAAUGAGAAUUGAUAUUUUUAUAUAAAAAAGUAAUAUUUUUAUACAAUUUUUUUCAUCUCAUAUAUAUAAAUAAUAAGUAGGUCUCACCUUUAUACGAGAGAAAUUCAUAUAAAAAUA